AGAAACCAACCAGGGAUUGCCCUAGUAACGGCGAGUGAAGCGGCAACAGCUCAAAUUUGAAAUCUUGGCCCUCGGGUCCGAAUUGUAAUUUGUAGAGGAUGUUUCUGGCGACGUGUCUUCCGAGUUCCCUGGAACGGGACGCCAAAGAGGGUGAGAGCGCCGUCCGGUCGUACGCCUAGCCUAUGUGAAACUCCUUCGACGAGUCGAGUAGUUUGGGAAUGCUGCUCUAAAUGGGAGGUAUACGUCUUCUAAAGCUAAAUACCGGCCAGAGACCGAUAGCGCACAAGUAGAGUGAUCGAAGAUGAAAAGCCCUUUGAAAAGAGGGUUAAAUAGUACGUGAAAUUGCUGAAAGGGAAGCGCUCAUGACCAGACUUGGGCUUGGUGAAUCAUCCGGCGUUCUCGCCGGUGCACUUUGCCUGCCCAGGGCAGCAUCAGUUUGCUUCGGGGGAUAAAGGCUUCGGGAAUGUGCCUCUCUCGGGAGUGUUAUAGCCCGUUGUGUAAUACCCUGGAGCGGACUGAGGUACGCGUUCUGCAAGGAUGCUGGCGUAAUGGUCAUCAGUGACCCGUCUAGAAACACGGACCAAGGAGUCGUCUUCGUAUGCGAGUGUUCGCGUGUCAAACCCGUACGCGUAAUGAAAGUGAACGUAGGAGAGAGCUUCGGGGCAUCUCCGACCGAUCCUGAUGUUCUCGGAUGGAUUUGAGUAAGAGCAUACGGGGCCGGACCCGAAAGAAGGUGAACUAUGCCUGUAUAGGGUGAAGCCAGAGGAAACUCUGGUGGAGGCUCGCAGCGGUUCUGACGUGCAAAUCGAUCCUCAAAAUAUGGGCAUGGGGGCGAAAGACUAA
rnacentral:rRNA from 1 species